GGGCCUCUAGCUCAUGCCUGGUUAGAGCAGCGGACUCAUAAUCCGUUGGUGCCCGGUUCGACUCCGGGGAGGCCUACCA
rnacentral:tRNA from 48 species